CCCGGGGUCGCCGGGGCCCGUAGUCCUUCUGCGAGGGCGCGAGGACCCCAGGAGGAGUCCUGGUUCGGGCAUUUCUGAAGAAACUGAGUUCCCGGCGUUCGCAGCCUGGGAGUCACAGGCGCCCACCCACCGAUAUGCAAUUUCACUUACAGGAUCUUGUUCUUCAGUGACAUGUCAUAAGAGUUAAUAAUUCCACAAGCCACCCUGCACUGCUGUGAUCCUAACAAUAUUGAAAGGUAACUGCAAAAGUAAAUACAAUGAAGACCAAAGGCAAAACAUUAUAAAAUUCCAGAUAGACUUGGCUGCCUCCCUACAUCUCGGUGCCUGGACUCUGCAUUUGUUGGAGUUAGGGGCGUGCUGGCCUGGAGCUGAGGCCUACUUCACCUACACAGGUGACUGGAAGAUCCUUGAAGAGGGAGGCUCUUUCCCAGCAGGUAAGGGCUGCCAUUGAACUUGGGGCUUUGCUCUAUCUAGGAAGGCCUGCCAGCCGGCGUGCCUCUGAAGAAACGCUCACCUGUGAGCAGGGAGCGCUCCCUAAACGCUGGUGGUGGGAUUCUCCCUCUCUCCACUGGGCCUCAAAACACAGGCUCCUUGUUCACAUGGCUGGAGACUGCCGAGGGUUUGGCUGCUGCUCAGGACCGCCUGGAUUCCUCACAGAGAGUGGCAAGGAGGCAUCAGGAUACACCAGGGAAUUCCCGGAACCGUAAGGUGGGAGACCCAGGUUUGAGUCCUGCCUCUGGCACCAAGCCAGCUGGGGGACUUUAUUAUUCAUGCAGUCUACAAAUAUUUAUUGAGCAUUUCCUGUGUGCCAGAUACUGUGCCAGGGCUGGGCUUUGGCAGUAAACAAGAUGGAAAUGAAAUUGCUUUGGCAAUUUGACAAUCUGGCAAUUUGGCAAUGAACAAGAUGGAAAACAAGAUGGAAAUCAAACCCUUUGCCCUAGUGGGGCUUUUACUGAAGUGACAGGAGAUCGUCAGCAAGCAAGGAAACAAGUAGGAAACUUCCAAGUAGUGAUAUGGGAUCAGAAUAAGAUGGGGUAAUAGGAUAGAGUGCCUAGGGAGCCAGCAUUAGAUGGGGAGGUCAGGGAAGGCAGUGUCUGGAAUAUGGGUGUGAUGCCUGGAGACAUAGCAGCCAUUUUGUGACCAUGAGGCAAGAAGCAUGAGGACAAAAAACAACAUAGCAGGGAUGCUGCAGAGGGAAGUUGAGAAGAGCCUAGGCCUUUGAUGACAUCAUUGCACCACUGCACAAACUCUGGACCUUCAUCCUCCAGGCUUCAUGAUACAUGAGAUAAAUGAAAUGCCCUGUGGGUUAGGUUUUUCUAGCAGCUAAACAUGUCUUUAACUAAAACAGACUUAAACAACAAGGAAGAGCAAACUAGGAGAAUAUGUAGAAGAAGAACAUUUCAGGUAGAGGGAACACAUGUGCAAAGGCCCUGAGGCAGGAAUAAGCUUGAAAGAGUUGAUGAACAUAACGUCAGUGCAGCUGAAGUGUGAUGAAGUGGAGGGACAUGGGUAAGCAGAGGCAGCAUUGGGGCCCUUGGGUUUUAUCCUUCAUGCAAUAAAUAAGAGGGCAUUGGGGACUUUUGAGCAGUAGAGAGACACGAUGUGAUUGAGGUUUUAGAAAGCUCUUUCUGGCUGCUGCAUGGAGCCCACAGGGGGCAAGACAGCAGUCAGGCCAAAAGGUCAAGUGAGGAGUGAUGGACUCUGGCCUGACUCGGCCGCAGCAGAGAUGGAGUCUGGGGGCCACGCAUAUAAUACACCACACACACCUCAAUACACCCCCUUCUGCCCAGGCAGACCCAGGUUCCAGUCCUGACCCUGCCACUUGUCAGCUCUCAAACCUACCCAUUUUCUCUCUCCUUACUGCCCCAAUCGUAGUGCAGGACGUCAUCGUCUCUCACCUAGCAUCUGCCACAGCCUCCUAAUCUGCCUUCCUACCUCUAGCCUUCAUCCCUCCCAUCCUUUCUCCACAUCCCGGCCACAGUUAUAUAUUUUUUCUUUUCUCUUUUUUUUUUUUUUUUCAGAUAGAGGUUCACUGUGUCACCCAGGCUGGUCUCCAAUUCCUGGGCUCAAGUAAUCCUCCCACCUCAGCCUCCCAAAGUGUUGGCAUUACAGGCGAGAGCCACUGUGCCUGGCCUAGCCACAAUAAUUCUUUUAAAACAAUAAAUGUAACCAUACUGCUUCUCUGCUUAGAAUCUUCUAGUGGAGCCUCAGCGUCAAGUCUAGAUCCCUGGCCAUGGCCUGUGUGUUUGUCAGGGCGUUGUCAGCUGCUGGAGCAAAUGGGCUGAGAAAUGCUUCGUAGUUAAGAUGCAGUUCAGUCUGGUUCUUCCUCACUGUGGUGUGAAGUAGGUGUCUCUUGCCAGUGGAUAGCUUUCCUCCACACAGUGAUUCAGGGACCCAGGCUCCAACUGUCUUCUUCCCCUUCUCUAUCCAGCCAGUUAAAGGGAAGCAGAGGUGAGGGAGGGGCCCUCCCACUCUUAGAAGCCUCAGUCCACCUCUGCUCACAAUUGACUGCAGGGGGAGACUAUGAAAUAAUCUGUGUAUCCAGGGAGGUCAGAAAAUGGAUUUUUAAUGAUUCACUAUGAGUCUCAGCAACAGUCUUUCUUUCUGGCAACGAGAUAGCAGUGUGGUCUUUCUUCUAUCACACCCUCCCCCAGAGGGAUGACCCCAAACUCCAUCUGUCUCUGCCUGUUGCCCUGCAUCUCCUGGAACAUUCCAUGCUCUCUGCUAGUACCAUCCCGUGAUCUCCAAGUAAAAUCCAGUUCCUACUCCCUCUGAGCUGACUGGGGGCAGUUAAAGCUCUCAUUAGGGAAGGGGGAACAGGGACACACAGCAGCCCCCACACCACAAUUGCAGAAUCUGACUGGCGGUGUUGUGAAGCUCCCUGUCCUACUCGUGGAGGGAUUUCCCACCUCUGCUUUCUGGGAGGCCCCUCCUCAUCUAGUAUUCUCCGUGGCAACAUCUGAGGUGGGGACCACAUGGUUUUUGCAGCUCUUUUCCUGCCUGUACAAGGGUGGAGGCCCAAGGCUUGUUCUACAAUGACAGGCUUGUGGUGUCUUUGGCAAUACAAUUCCCUCCAGAUUUUAGGGAGUUUUCCUUCCAAUAAGUUCCAUGUGACCACACCCGAGGUGCUUUUCUACUGUCAUCUUCCAGCAGCUUUAUUUCUUUGCUUCCUUAUUUCCCAUGUCUCUGUCUCUGCUGUCUCUGUCUGUCUGUAGACUGACACUGACCUUGAGAACAUCUCAACAGUUAGUGGGGUAAGACCACCCACUUCAUUUGAUCCUUGCUGCAGGAUUAAGGCCUUUGUCUGUAGACCUGAGAGUUUUAAUGAGCCUUUGCUACUUAAAACCUUUUCAUUUUUAUUUCCUGCUAUUUGAGAUCCAUUCACAGUUCACUUUUCCAACACUACAAGGCCUCAAACUCUUCAUAUUUCCCUUUCUUCUAUUUCCACACUGUUUAUAUCUUGCUUGAGUGUGUCUCUGUCUCACAAUACCUUACUGUACACCAAAGGAAUGACUAACAUACUUUUUUUUUUUAUUUUGAGACGGAGUCUCGCUCUGUCUUCAGGCUGGAGUGCAGUGGCACGAUCUCGGCUCACUGCAACCUCCGCCUCCUGGUUUCAAGCGAUUCUCCUGCCUCAGCCUCCCAAGUAGCUGGGACUACAGGCAUGUGCCACCAUGCCCAGCUAAUUUUUGUAUUUUUAUUAGAGACAGGGUUUCACCAUGAUGGCCAGGAUGGUCUCGAUCUCUUGACCUCGUCAUCUGCCUGCCUUGGCCUCCCAAAGUGCUGGGAUUACAGGCGUGAGCCACCGCACCCAGCCCAAUAUACAUUUUUAUUGCAGCUCACUCAGCCACCUUCUUCUGGAGCUACAGGCUUACUUCUCCCAGUCUGCCCUUCAAGCUAUUGUAGGCUACAGGUCUAACAAACAUUUCACCUCUGCAUGACAUGAGUCUCCCACUUUCUAUUCUGCAACAUCUAUUCAUGUUCCCUGCUGCCUGGCCACUAAGCCAAUGGUACAUAUUUUAGGUUUCAAGUUAUGGCAGCACUCUAUUUUGAUGUAUUCAUUAGUGCACACUAUCUCCUGUAACAAAUAGACCCCAAAAUGCAGAAUGAUUAAAACACCACAGAGAUGUGUUUCUCACAUAACAAGCCAGAGUGAGAGCUCAUUAGUGGCAUGUGGCUUUUCUCCUGAAAAGCUGAAUGCAGUGAUUCGGAAACCCGUGUUCUUUACAGUUAGUAGAUUCACCCUUCCCAAGGCCUAGUAACCAAUGGUAUUCAGCGGUGGAACGGGAAAGAGAGAGCCUGGAGAGAGCCCAUACCCAUGCUCCUUGCAGAAUGCAGACCUCAGGCCCCACCUGCUGUGUGGGUGGCAGGAGGUGCAGCUGUGUGCCCAUGAGUGAAAACCCAUUGAACUGCUAACAAUCUCUCCCACACUUCAGGGCUGUCCAUCAUCCAGCCAUCCCACCUCUCCAGUCUCAUCCCUUGACCUUCCCCCUGCCAGCCUCACUCAUCUUCAUUCGAUUCCUCAAGGAUGGCAUGACUGUCUCAUCUCUAGGUCUUUGCUCAUGUUGGUUAGUCCACCUGGAGCCCUCUCUCCCUCACUGUUCUAGCCAUUCAGCCAGCCAGCCAUCCAUCCACUCAUCCACCAAACCAUCCACCCACCUACUCAUCCAGCCAUCCACCCAGCCAUCCAUUCACCCAUUCAUCCAGUCACCCACCCAUCCACCCAUCCACCCAUCUACCCAUCUACCCAUCCAUCCACCCACCCAUCUAUCCACCCAUUCAUCCACUCAUCCAUCCAUCUACCCACUCAUCCACCCAGCCAUUCAUCCACCCACACCCAUCCAUCCACCCACUCACUCAUGCACCCACUCACCCAUCCACCCACACAUUCACUCAUUCACCCAUCCACCCACUCAUCCACUCAGCCAUCCAUCCACCCACACCCAUCCACUGAUUCACCCACUCAUCUAUCCACCAAUCCAUCCAUCCACUCAUCCAUCUGUCCACCCACUCAUCCACCCACACCCAUCCAUCCAUCCACCCACUCAUCUGCCCACUCACCUAUCCACCCAUCCAUCCACUCAUCUACCCAUCCAUCUAUCCACCCAAUCAUCUACCCACUCACCCAUCCACCCUUUAAUCCAUACACGCACUCAUCUACCCAUCCGUCCACCCACCCAUCCACCCAGCCAUUCACCCACCCACCCAUCCAUCCAUCCAUCCACCCACCUAUCCACACACCCAUCCACUAAUUCACCCACCCACCCACCCAUCCAACAAAUGUUUUGAGCACUAAAUGUGUGCCAGGCACUGAUCCAGAUGGUGGGAUUCUGCAAUGAACAAAACAAACAAACUCCUGCUCUCAUGCAGCUUGUAUUCUAGCUGGGAGAGACAAUGAAUAAUAAACCAGAUAAAAUAAAUAAAUCA